rnacentral:rRNA from 1 species
UAACGGCGAGCGAACUGGGAAGAGCUCAUGGCGAAAUCCGCCGUCGUUGCGACGGUCCGGAUAUUUCGCGUAUAGGAGAGACGCUUCCGAACGCCGACUCCGGUGUAAGUCCCCCUGACUGGGGCUCCUACCCCGAGAGGGUGCAAGGCCCGUAGCGGCCGGCGUCGGCUUCGGAUGUCCUCUCCGGGGAGUCGGGUUGCUUGAGAGUGCAGCCCCAAUCGGGUGGUAAACUCCAUCUAAGGCUAAAUACGACCCGGAGACCGAUAGCGAACAAGUACCGUGAGGGAAAGUUGAAAAGGACUUUGAAGAGAGAGUUCAAGAGUACGUGAAACCGUUCGAAGGUAAACGAGUGGGCCCUCGAAGCCGUAAGGCGGGGGGACUCAGCCGGGCGCCUCGGACCCGCCGUCGCGUGCGCGCUUCCCCACCGGGACGCGCCGCGGCGGAACCGGUCCGGGUUCCCGGCGCAUUUCCUCCCGCCCUCGGACGCUGCGACCGGUCGCGCGUGCCACGAGCGGUCGGCCUUACUCGCGGGGACCGGCAGGUAGCGGGGACCGCGCUUCGGCGCCUUCCCCGUGUUUAGCCACCCCGCGACCGAGAGCCGUUCGCGCGACCGAAGGACUCGGCCCUCAGGGGCCUCUCCGCGCCUUCCCACUCGGGAUCGGCCG